rnacentral:rRNA from 2 species
UUAAGUGACUAAGCGUACACGGUGGAUGCCUUGGCAGUCAGAGGCGAUGAAGGACGUAUUAACUUGCGAUAAGCCCAGAUUAGGUAGUAAAAACCAUUUGAGUCUGGGAUUUCCGAAUGGGGAAACCCACUUGCAUAAGCAAGUAUCGCUGCGUGAAUACAUAGCGCAGCGAGGCGAACCGGGGGAACUGAAACAUCUAAGUACCCGAGGAAAAGAAAUCAACCGAGAUUCCGAAAGUAGCGGCGAGCGAAAUUGGACUAGCCCUUAAGCUUUUUAUGCGUCAGGUGAAACUUCUGGAAAGUUGUGCGAUACAGGGUGAUAGCCCCGUAACCGGCAACGCAUUUAAAGUGAAAUCGAGUAGGGCGGGACACGUGAUAUCCUGUCUGAAUAUGGGGGGACCAUCCUCCAAGGCUAAAUACUACUGACUGACCGAUAGUGAACCAGUACCGUGAGGGAAAGGCGAAAAGAACCCCUGUGAGGGGAGUGAAAUAGAACCUGAAACCGUGUACGUACAAGCAGUAGGAGCACCUUCGUGGUGUGACUGCGUACCUUUUGUAUAAUGGGUCAGCGACUUAUAUUCAGUGGCAAGGUUAACCAUCUAGGGGAGCCGUAGCGAAAGCGAGUGUUAACUGCGCGACUCAGUCGCUGGAUAUAGACCCGAAACCAGGUGAUCUAGCCAUGGGCAGGUUGAAGAUUGAGUAACAUCAAUUGGAGGACCGAACCGACUAAUGUUGAAAAAUUAGCGGAUGACUUGUGGCUAGGGGUGAAAGGCCAAUCAAACCUGGAGAUAGCUGGUUCUCCCCGAAAGCUAUUUAGGUAGCGCCUCGGACGAAUACUACUGGGGGUAGAGCACUGUUAAGGCUAGGGGGUCAUCCCGACUUACCAACCCUUUGCAAACUCCGAAUACCAGUAAGUACUAUCCGGGAGACACACGGCGGGUGCUAACGUCCGUCGUGGAGAGGGAAACAACCCAGACCGCCAGCUAAGGUCCCAAAUUACUACUAAGUGGGAAACGAUGUGGGAAGGCUCAGACAGCCAGGAUGUUGGCUUAGAAGCAGCCAUCAUUUAAAGAAAGCGUAAUAGCUCACUGGUCGAGUCGGCCUGCGCGGAAGAUGUAACGGGGCUAAGUAGUAAACCGAAGCUGCGGCAAUGCACUUUAGUGCAUUGGGUAGGGGAGCGUUCUGUAAGCGGUUGAAGGUGUGUGGUAACGCAUGCUGGACGUAUCAGAAGUGCGAAUGCUGACAUGAGUAACGAUAAAGGGGUGAAAAACCUCCUCGCCGGAAGACCAAGGGUUCCUGUCCAACGUUAAUCGGGGCAGGGUAAGUCGACCCCUAAGGCGAGGCCGAAAGGCGUAGUCGAUGGGAAACGGGUUAAUAUUCCCGUACUUCUUACAAUUGCGAUGGGGGACGGAGAAGGCUAGGUGGGCCUGGCGACGGUUGUCCAGGUUCAAGUGCGUAGGCUGAAGAGUUAGGUAAAUCCGGCUCUUCUUAAGGCUGAGACACGACGUCGAGCUACUACGGUAGUGAAGUCAUUGAUGCCAUGCUUCCAGGAAAAGCCUCUAAGCUUCAGAUUGUAAGGAAUCGUACCCCAAACCGACACAGGUGGUCGGGUAGAGAAUACCAAGGCGCUUGAGAGAACUCGGGUGAAGGAACUAGGCAAAAUGGUACCGUAACUUCGGGAGAAGGUACGCUCUUGAUGGUGAAGUCCCUUGCGGAUGGAGCUGACGAGAGUCGCAGAUACCAGGUGGCUGCAACUGUUUAUUAAAAACACAGCACUGUGCAAAAUCGUAAGAUGACGUAUACGGUGUGACGCCUGCCCGGUGCCGGAAGGUUAAUUGAUGGGGUUAGACUUCGGUCGAAGCUCUUGAUCGAAGCCCGUAACGGCGGCCGUAACUAUAACGGUCCUAAGGUAGCGAAAUUCCUUGUCGGGUAAGUUCCGACCUGCACGAAUGGCGUAAUGAUGGCCACGCUGUCUCCACCCGAGACUCAGUGAAAUUGAAAUCGCUGUGAAGAUGCAGUGUACCCGCGGCUAGACGGAAAGACCCCGUGAACCUUUACUACAGCUUGGCACUGAACAUUGACCCUACAUGUGUAGGAUAGGUGGGAGGCUUUGAAGCAAGUACGCCAGUAUUGUGGAGCCGUCCUUGAAAUACCACCCUUGUAGUGUUGA